GAGGCUGGAGUUGUAAAGUGUUGAAUACUUUCCCACAGACUUAAACUUUUACUUUCACAAAAGUACUCAUGAAAAUACGGUUGAAUAAUUUUAUUUAAAUAAAAAAAUAAAAAUAAAAAAAAAGUCAGGUUUAUACAACACAAAUCUUGCUGGCAAAUGAAGACCUGCUAUAAAUGCAGCACUGAAACCACAACAUGACAAUUACAAACUUGCUCUUCGGUUUCUUUGGCAACAGAGGAAGUGAAGAUGUCCCACUGGGCCAAGCUCCAUUUGCUUUUUACAAUGCAUCCCACUCAUUAUCUGUAAGAAGGGGUAAAAUAUUAAAUAAAAAUAUUAGAAAAUGUAAACAUCCAACUGCAUAAAGAUAUCAGCGAUCCUGCAAUAAACAAUUUAAAGUAAGAUCUCAUCAAUGCCUUCAGUCAACAGUGACCACCACAGUCUGUCUAGAAACCACUACCCUGUAAAUCUGUCUUGAAAGCAUGUGCAGGUAUUAAUGUAUUUAGUGGGUGAAUACUUAAAGCUGUCACGUCACACCACGUAUCCCCAUGUGAACCCAACCUUUGACCAUUCCUAACAAGCUUAAAAUGUAUUCCUCUAUUCAAUCUGUGCUGCUAUAAAAAUGAAGCAGUCAGAAAGCGCAAGGAAGGCUCAGUUUAGCAUCUCUAUGCAAACCCAGAAGCCAAAGAAGUCUGCUCCAGAUCUAUCAGUGGAUGCAAAUUCAUGUACAACCCCAGUUAAAACAUUUUAAGCGCUCACCAGCAUUCUCAGCGUUGGUCCACAGCUUGUCAGCCUCUCGCAGCUCUGGUUUUAUUACCCCGUGCCUUAUACAUAUCCUUCAUACGUCUGAAGGAGGAAAAAUUUUUUAUACAUGAUACAGUCUCUUUACAAGAAUAUGUAAUUAAGGUUUUUGUGUGCUGGCAUGUUAAAACAAACAUUUUAUCCUCCCUUCUUCAAUCUGAGACGCCAUGGAAAAUGAGCGAUCAGAAAGCGCAGGGACAUUUAAUAUUACAUCUAAAUGUUAUAACCCAGGAACUCACAGCAGAGAGCCCAGGCUGUCAAAGAUGUGGUCCGAGGACAGGCUUGGUCACUUUACUAAACAGUAGCAAAGUCGUUACAAUGUAAACUCAAUACAUACAUGUUCGCACACUGCUUGUCAGCUGUCGUCUCAGGUCAUGUAAUACACAGCUACUGGCAUCACUAGUGCAUCAUGCUGAAACACAUCAGUCAUCCGCAGCUGGCUCAUACAGGUAUUCAUCCAGCGGGAUGAUCUGCUUUAAAAGUGCGAAAAAAUACGUUAAAAAACGCUUUAACACUUAAUCAAGGUCAGAACAGGUUUAGCAGAUAUGCGCAUGGAAAAUAUUAGUUACAAAGCUCAUGUUAGAAUUAACAUGAGCUAACUAGCAAUAAUGGAGCACAUCCGGUGCUAUGCUAAAUCUGGUAUCGUUAACGAGUAUCCAUUAACCUUUCUUAAAAUCAGCUCUCUCUCAUGGCACGAGGCAUCAUAUUUAGCCCCGUGUUACUGCUCAUUUCGCUCACUUAGCCGUUAGUCUGGGGCAAAACUAAGAAGCCGGGAUUAUUUUGCACAAAAUAUUUUCUAACUCGUGACACAAAAUGGCUCGAGCUCAUUUUACACGUGUCCGUUGAUUCACCAUAAAACUCAACAGAACAGACGUCACUAACUUAGCUGUCUUUAACUCGACAGGGCGCCUGAAUAUACUUACAGUAGGUCAUGUCAGGUAAGGUGAAUGAGUCGCCGAGGUUACGCAUUAUAAAGUUCACAAGAACGCCUUUCACUUGCUGCAACACACGAGAGCACAGGCAGCGAAAGGACUGCUCUGAGG
ensembl:lncRNA